GACGUAGGGCGCGAGCGUUGUCCGGAUUUAUUGGGCGUAAAGAGCUCGUAGGCGGCUUGUCGCGUCGACUGUGAAAACCCGCGGCUCAACCGCGGGCCUGCAGCCGAUACGGGCAGGCUAGAGUUCGGUAGGGGAGACUGGAAUUCCUGGUGUAGCGGUGAAAUGCGCAGAUAUCAGGAGAACACCCAGUGGCGAAGGCAGCUC
rnacentral:rRNA from 1 species